UACAGAGGUGGCAAGCGUUGUUCGGAAUUACUGGGCGUAAAGGGCGCGUAGGCGGUUCGUUAAGUCCUGUGUGAAAUCCCCCGGCUCAACUGGGGAACUGCACAGGAAACUAGCGGGCUUGAGUUCGGGAGAGGGAAGCGGAAUUCCCGGUGUAGCGGUGAAAUGCGUAGAGAUCGGGAGGAACACCGGCGGCGAAGGCGGCUGCCUGGACCAGUCCUGACGCUGAGGCGCGAAAGCUAGGGGAGCAAACAGG
rnacentral:rRNA from 1 species